rnacentral:misc_RNA from 1 species
GUAAUACGUAAUGAUUAAAAUCAAGGCUGAAAUGUAUUCAAAAAUAACUUUUUAUACAGCGCGAUUCUUUUUCUAUUAAAAUAUUUCGUAAAUUACUUAUUACGUUUAUUACAUGUAAUAUCACGUAUUAUAUUGUUUUAGAGCAUAACCUAUAAUUUUCGUGAAAAGAUAUGCUUAUACAUAUUAUACAGAGCUUUACUCAUGUCUGUAUAAUAUGUAAGUAUAUAUGUACAUAUAUACUUACUUACAAUGAAUGGAAAAUUUUAAAUAAUUUUUGUAAUAAUAAAAAUAGAGAAGAAACUUUAUUGAAAGGAAGACAAAGAAAGGUCUACAGAAAUAAAAAAAUUCAGAAAAAUGAAUGAAUGUAAAAAAAGAACGAUUUAUUUUAUUAAAAAUCAGUUUGU